UACGUAGGGUGCAAGCGUUAAUCGGAAUUACUGGGCGUAAAGAGCUCGUAGGCGGUUUGGUAAGUCACGUGUGAAAUCUCCACGCUCAACGUGGAGGGGCCACGUGAGACUGCUAUGACUAGAGUCCGGUAGAGGAGUGUGGAAUUCCCGGUGUAGCGGUGAAAUGCGCAGAGAUCGGGAGGAACACCCGUAGCGAAGGCGGCACUCUGGGCCGGUACUGACGCUGAGGAGCGAAAGCGUGGGGAGCAAACAGGAUUAGAAACCCCGGUAGU
rnacentral:rRNA from 1 species